CCUCGCUCUCAGCCUGCUCUGUUGCAAAAUCCAGGUUGGCACUACCCCCCAGGGCUCAGCCCUCAGCGUUAUCCCUUUCCUUCCCCAUACCCAGUCUCCCAACCCUUCGUGCAAGUGUGUGGUGGAGGAGACCGAAGCUCCACAUCCAAAUGGAGGGGUUGACUCCUCUGUAGUGAGGGGUCAGCCUAGCUUGAGUCACUGGGAGACUGUCUUCCAGCCUCCCCUUGCCCACCCCAGACCUGACAUCCCAGGGCCACCCUGCAGGGAGCCUGAGGUGGAGGGGCCUGGCUACCUGUCUGCAAAUGUGGAGCCGGGGGAGGUUGGUUGGCAGAAAGGAGGGAGAAGUGACGAGGCGCCCCAGGCCCUGUGCCUGGAGUCAGAAGGGCCAGCUCUGGGAGAACCUUCACCCUCGUGGAGACUUUGCCUCAGAAUGUUUGCCUGGAACCCAGCCCACCAGGGCUGACACCUGAGGCUGAGGCUGCCCUGUCAUGCCCCUUCCACACCAGGGGCUCUGUGCUGGGAUUGCUGUGGCCAGUUACGGGGAGGCCUGCAAGUUUGGGCAGCCGAGGUCAUGCCUCUCAAAGAGGAGCCGGAUGAAUAUAUCAAGUAAAUGUGCAUUUCAGCUUGUGGUAGGGCCAGACACAGCUGUGUGUGUGUGUGUGUGUGUGUGUGUGUGUGUGUGUGUGUGUAAGGGGAGCAACAUUCACUGUGCACCUACCAUGUGGCAAGCUAGUGCUAGGCCCUGUACUUGUACUAUUUCAUUUAAUGAGUUUAAUUUGCAUGGCUGCUUCUGUGGCAUUCCAGAGUGGCUUUUCACACUUUCUUUGGCUGGGGUGGGGGUGGGGAGAACUGUAUUUCUAUUUUUAUCUUCCCAUGGUGGGGUGCUCUGCUCAUGGGGCCCCUUAUCUCCCCCGGCACUUUCCCCUACAUCCGGC
rnacentral:lncRNA from 10 species